GACGAACGCUGGCGGCGUGCUUAACACAUGCAAGUCGAACGAAGAGCGAUGGAAGCUUGCUUCUAUCAAUCUUAGUGGCGAACGGGUGAGUAACGCGUAAUCAACCUGCCCUUCAGAGGGGGACAACAGUUGGAAACGACUGCUAAUACCGCAUACGAUCUAAUCUCGGCAUCGAGGAUAGAUGAAAGGUGGCCUCUACAUGUAAGCUAUCACUGAAGGAGGGGAUUGCGUCUGAUUAGCUAGUUGGAGGGGUAACGGCCCACCAAGGCGAUGAUCAGUAGCCGGUCUGAGAGGAUGAACGGCCACAUUGGGACUGAGACACGGCCCAGACUCCUACGGGAGGCAGCAGUGGUGAAUCUUCCGCAAUGGACGAAAGUCUGACGGAGCAACGCCGCGUGAGUGAUGACGGCCUUCGGGUUGUAAAGCUCUGUUAAUCGGGACGAAAGGCCUUCUUGCGAAUAGUGAGAAGGAUUGACGGUACCGGAAUAGAAAGCCACGGCUAACUACGUG
rnacentral:rRNA from 1 species